rnacentral:rRNA from 1 species
UACGUAGGGUGCAAGCGUUGUCCGGAAUUAUUGGGCGUAAAGAGCUUGUAGGCGGUUUGUCGCGUCUGCUGUGAAAUCUCAAGGCUCAACCUUGAGCUUGCAGUGGGUACGGGCAGACUAGAGUGUGGUAGGGGAGACUGGAAUUCCUGGUGUAGCGGUGAAAUGCGCAGAUAUCAGGAGGAACACCGAUGGCGAAGGCAGGUCUCUGGGCCACUACUGACGCUGAGAAGCGAAAGCGUGGGGAGCGAACAGG